CUGUCGGUCGGCGGCUAAGGAGGGGAGGCACCUGCAUCUGGGGCGCGGCGAAUCCUCGCGUGCGCCAGGCCGCCUGGGGUAGUCGCCGAGACUGCGCCGGCCAGCGGGGCCGAAACCUAAUCAGGAGCUGAGCUUUGAUGGCGGCUUCUGGAGGGACAAAGAAGGCGCAGAGCGGUGGGAGGAGGCUGCGAGAACCUAGCUCCCGCCCCAGCCGACGUGCGAGACAAAGGCCCCGGCGCGGGGCUCUUCGGAAGGCCGGGAGGUUCCUGUGACAAUGCGAGUCUGCGCCCCACGCUCCCGCACCGUGAUGCCGAGGCCAAAUGGCUAGAGUGGGCCCAGGCAUCAGCAUUUCUGUUUGGCAGCCGGGCAGUUGUGGUGCACGUUUUGAGGAACUACUAAAGCCUGCCUGUGAUGAAAAAGGCAAAAGCUGACUUCACCAAAAUUACUCCCAGGGAGACUUCUGCAUUUGGCUGGAAGGACAUUUGAGUAAACCGCUGAGGCUGGUGGUUGAAACAUAAUCCUCUAAGGGAGAUCGGUUCCGAUACCCUGAGUUAGGGACGCUUGCCUGGGCAGAGCUAAGGGGAGAAUGAUCAAAAGCCAAGCUCUGUCCCCGUCAGCACGUCACCCUCCCUCACUGUAAUCCCUGACUGUUUUCUCUAAAUGAAGAAUUAUUUAGAGAAUAUAAAUUAGAAGGGCCGCCACGUCAGAAUUGCCUGAGUGGGAGCAGUCUUUCCAGCCUCGAAAAAUGUUUAAACAAUAUGCAGAUGACCUAGCACAAAUAAAGAAUGCUAGCAACCGCUGUUAUGUGUGAGCGGUGGAAUUGGGAGGGCUCUUCCCCCAAUCUUCAUCAAACAGAGUAAGGUUUAGAAUAAAAAUAAUGAAAUACAGUCUUUCAAAAAGA
rnacentral:lncRNA from 1 species